AUGGUCAUGUCUGCUGUUUUUUCGUUGUGAGGAGACAGUCAUGAAGCCCAGCCCACACCCAGGAGGAGGGAAGGGAAAGUUUAAACUUGGUUCAAGAUAGAUCCAACCCUGGGAAUCAGCAUUUCUGCUUCUCGUUCAUGCCCUUCCCACUCACUGUGCUCCUCUUCCUGCCAGAAACUUUGAGCUCAGAGGUAAAAGUAAUUUUGAGUUUUUAAGUAAAACUUUUCCUAUGAAAAUCUAAAUAAUACAGAAGUGCUUGGAAUAAAAGCUAACUUCUCUCUUUGAUUCCUCA
rnacentral:lncRNA from 1 species